GACGGAGGAUGCAAGCGUUAUCCGGAAUGAUUGGGCGUAAAGCGUCCGCAGGUGGCAGUUCAAGUCUGCUGUCAAAGACCGGGGCUUAACUUCGGAAAGGCAGUGGAAACUGAACAGCUAGAGUAUGGUAGGGGCAGAGGGAAUUCCUGGUGUAGCGGUGAAAUGCGUAGAGAUCAGGAAGAACAUCGGUGGCGAAGGCGCUCUGCUGGACCAUAACUGACACUGAGGCACGAAAGCCAGGGGAGCAAACGGG
rnacentral:rRNA from 1 species